rnacentral:rRNA from 1 species
AUUGAACGCUGGCGGCAGGCCUAACACAUGCAAGUCGGACGGUAGCACAGAGGAGCUUGCUCCUCGGGUGACGGGUGGCGGACGGGUGAGUAAUGUCUGGGGAUCUGCCCGAUAGAGGGGGAUAACCACUGGAAACGGUGGCUAAUACCGCAUAACGUCGCAAGACCAAAGAGGGGGACCUUCGGGCCUCUCACUAUCGGAUGAACCCAGAUGGGAUUAGCUAGUAGGCGGGGUAACGGCCCACCUAGGCGACGAUCCCUAGCUGGUCUGAGAGGAUGACCAGCCACACUGGAACUGAGACACGGUCCAGACUCCUACGGGAGGCAGCAGUGGGGAAUAUUGCACAAUGGGCGAAAGCCUGAUGCAGCCAUGCCGCGUGUAUGAAGAAGGCCUUCGGGUUGUAAAGUACUUUCAGCGGGGAGGAAGGCGAUGUGGUUAAUAACCGCAUUGAUUGACGUUACCCGCAGAAGAAGCACCGGCUAACUCCGUGCCAGCAGCCGCCGUAA